rnacentral:rRNA from 1 species
AUACGUAGGUGACAAGCGUUAUCCGGAUUUACUGGGCGUAAAGGGCGUGUAGGCGGUCUUGCAAGUCAGAAGUGAAAUUCCUGAGCUCAACUCGGGCGCUGCUUCUGAAACUGCAGGACUUGAGUGCUGGAGGGGAUAGCGGAAUUCCUAGUGGAGCGGUAAAAUGCGCAGAUAUUAGGAAGAACACCGGUGGCGAAGGCGGCUAACUGGACAGUAACUGACGCUGAGGCGCGAAAGCGUGGGGAGCAAACAGGAUUAGAUGCCCUGGUAGUCCACGCCGUAAACGAUGAAUACUAGGUGUAGGGGGUAUCGACUCCCUCUGUGCCGCAGUUAACACAAUAAGUAUUCCGCCUGGGGAGUACGGCCGCAAGGUUGAAACUCAAAUGAAUUGACGAGG